GACGUAGGAGGCGAGCGUUGUCCGGAUUCAUUGGGCGUAAAGAGCGCGCAGGCGGCUUGGUAAGUCGGAUGUGAAAUCCCGAGGCUCAACCUCGGGUCUGCAUCCGAUACUGCCCGGCUAGAGGUAGGUAGGGGAGAUCGGAAUUCCUGGUGUAGCGGUGAAAUGCGCAGAUAUCAGGAGGAACACCGGUGGCGAAGGCAGCUCUCUGGGACGGUACUGACACUGGAGACGCGAAAGCGUGGGGA
rnacentral:rRNA from 1 species